GACGAACGCUGGCGGCGUGCUUAACACAUGCCAGUCGAACGCUGAAGCUCAGCUUUUGUUGGGUGGAUGAGUGGCGAACGGGUGAGUAACACGUGAGUAACCUGCCUCCUUCUUUGGGAUAACGCCCGGAAACGGGUGCUAAUACCGGAUAUUCACUGGUCUUCGCAUGGGGGUUGGUGGAAAGGGUUUUUCUGGUGGGGGAUGGGCUCGCGGCCUAUCAGCUUGUUGGUGGGGUGAUGGCCUACCAAGGCUUUGACGGGUAGCCGGCCUGAGAGGGUGACCGGUCACAUUGGGACUGAGAUACGGCCCAGACUCCUACGGGAGGCAGCAGUGGGGAAUAUUGCACAAUGGGCGCAAGCCUGAUGCAGCGACGCCGCGUGAGGGAUGGAGGCCUUCGGGUUGUGAACCUCUUUCGCUCAUGGUCAAGCCGCAACAAUGGUUGUGGUGAGGGUAGUGGGUAAAGAAGCGCCGGCUAACUACGUG
rnacentral:rRNA from 1 species